UCAGACUCAACAUUACAUUGGAGCCAAAUAUGGACCUGGGAAGGCCAAUAUUCUAAACACUUAUUGUUGCAUGAAGUUAGGCCUUAAAAAUUGUGAUAGCGAGGCGAAUAGUGGUCCGAUUGACAGUGAAAAGGCAAAAUAAGUUGUUGGAGGGACUGGACAUGGAUCUUUUCACAUUUCAACCAAUAAUGUGGACAGCAACAGCGAUGGUCAUUGAAUAACCUAG